rnacentral:sRNA from 1 species
UCGGAACCCGGCGCCGUAGGGUCGCGCCGA